CCUACGGGAGGCUGCAGUCGAGAAUCAUUCACAAUGGGGGAAACCCUGAUGGUGCGACGCCGCGUGGGGGAAUGAAGGUCUUCGGAUUGUAAACGCCUGUCAUGUGGGAGCAAAUUAAAAAGAUAGUACCACAAGAGGAUGAGACGGCUAACUCUGUGCCAGCAGCCGGGGUAAUACAGAGGUCUCAAGCGUUGUUCGGAAUCACUGGGGGUAAAGGGUGUGUAGGCUGUUUCGUAAGUCGUGUGUGAAAGGCUCGGGCUUAACCCGCGGACGGCACAUGAUACUGCGAGACUAGAGUAAUGGAGGGGGAAGCGGAAUUCUCGGUGUAGCAGUGAAAUGCGUAGAUA
rnacentral:rRNA from 1 species